rnacentral:lncRNA from 1 species
UCUAACUAUAUAUAUAUAGUAUUAAACUCUAACUAUAAUAAACUAAGGGUGCCUUUGAUUCGCGCUAUCUUUUAAAGAUUCCUAGUAAUCCAAUGGGAAUAAAAAAAUAUGACGGUGUUUGGCUAAACGCACUAAGUAAUCUAGUUGGUAAUAUUGGAUUCACUUGGGAAUAAGAUUCACUCCAAAGUACUAAUCUCAUUCCCUUGAGGGAGGGUGGAUAUUCUCAUAUUAAUGGAUUGGGGUAAUCAUAAUAUGACUAACCUCUUUCUUUCUUCCUACCCGCCGGCUAAUUGAUAUUAUUUUUCUUUACACUCUAAUCUUAUAUCUCUCUCUAAAUUUAUUUUUCUCUCUAAAAUUCAACUUUUUUGUUCUCUCUCUAAACUAAGCUUUCUCUCUCUCUCUCUCUCUCUUUCUAAAAUUUCAACUCUCUCACUCCCUCUAAUUUCGGCUAUAUUUUUCUUUCUUUUUUUUUAAUUAUGCUCUCUCUCUCUAACUUACACUCUCUCUCCCUUUUUUCUAAAAAAAUGUUGAAACUUUUGGUAACAUUAUCUAAAAUUAAUUAAAUAAAUAAAUUAAUUAAUUGUAUAAUUUUUGUAAUAUUAAAUAACUUGACUAAUUAAUAUUACUGUGUGAACCAAACACAGAAAUUUCACAUUCUUAGUAAUAUGAUGAAUAGUAAUAAAAUUGCACCCCUAAGUACUGUUUGAUUGGGGAAUAAACAAGGAAUAAAGAAGUUUAUCCACCUUAUCUAUAUCUAUCUAUAUCUAUACUUUAUAUAAAAACGUAUAGGAAUUCCCACAAUGAUAGAGGGAAUAAAAAAGGAGUAGAAUAAUAUUCCCUACGAAUAAUAUGAUUAAUUUGUUAAAAAUAUCUUAAAUAAAAUAAAAACGAACGGUUAUGAUCAAUCUAUUAAAACUCUAUCAUAUCUAAAAAAGGAAUAAAAUAAUAUUUCCUACGAAUGGUUAUGAUUAAUUUGUUAAAAAUAUCUCAAAUAAAAUAAAAACAAACCAUUAUGAUCAAUCUAUUAAAUCUCUACCAUAUCCAAAAAGGAAUAAAAUAAUAUUCCUUAUGAAUGGUAAUGAUUAAUUUGUUAAAAAAAACGAACGGUUAUACUCAAUCUAUUAAAUCUCUAUUUUAUAUAAAAUUCUAUUCCCAGCAAAUGGUUAUAAUCAAUUUGUUAAAAAAAAUAUCUCAAAUAAGAACAAUUAUGAUCAAUCUAUUAAAAAAUAGCAUUUCUAUCCAUCUAUAAAUUCAAUCCUACGAACGAUUAUAAUCAAUUUGUUAAAAAAUAUAUCAAAUAAAAUAAAAUAAACGGUUGUUUGAGAUAAAAAAAAAUUUUCAAAUUCAAAUUGAGAAAACCUUUGUUUGAGAUGAAAAGAUUCAAAUUCAAAUUCAAAUUGAGGAUAUAGAAGGAAAGAAAUUAAAUUGCGAUUUGAUUAUUCCUUUCCUUAGAGGACUAAGUAUUAACAAGGAAAGAGAUAAGGAAAAUAUUAUUGUCUUAUCUUCAAAAAUUUUUGAAUUAUUUCCUAAAGUGAAUAGGU